AUACGUAGGGGGCGAGCGUUGUCCGGAAUGAUUGGGCGUAAAGGGCGCGUAGGCGGCCUGUUAAGUCUGGAGUGAAAGUCCUGUUUUCAAGAUGGGAAUUGCUUUGGAUACUGAUGGGCUUGAGUGCAGGAGAGGUUAUCGGAAUUCCCGGUGUAGCGGUGAAAUGCGUAGAGAUCGGGAGGAACACCAGUGGCGAAGGCGGGUAACUGGACUGCAACUGACGCUGAGGCGCGAAAGUGUGGGGAGCAAACAGGAUUAGAUACCCUGGUAGUCCACACUGUAAACGAUGAAUGCUAGGUGUAAGAGGUAUCGACCCCUUUUGUGCCGGAGUCAACACAAUAAGCAUUCCGCCUGGGGAGUACGGCCGCAAGGUUGAAACUUAAAGGAAUUGACGGGG
rnacentral:rRNA from 1 species